rnacentral:rRNA from 1 species
CCUACGGGAGGCUGCAGUGGGGAAUAUUGCGCAAUGGGCGCAAGCCUGACCCAGCGACGCCGCGUGAGGGAAGAAGGCUUUCGGUUUGUAAACUUCUUUUGUCAGGGAAGAGUAGAAGACGAUACCUGACGAAUAAGCCACGGCUAACUACGUGCCCGCAGCCGCGGUAAUACGUAGGUGGCAAGCGUUGUCCGGAUUUACUGUGUGUAGAGGGCGUGUAGCCGGGUUGACAAGUCAGAUGUGAAAUCCUGCGGCUUAACCGCAGAACUGCAUUUGAAACUGUUGAUCUUGAGUACUGGAGAGGUAGAUGGAAUUCCUAGUGUAGCGGUGAAAUGCGUAGAUAUUAGGAGGAACACCAGUGGCGAAGGCGGUCUGCUGGACAGCAACUGACGGUGAGGCGCGAAAGCGUGGGGAGCAAACAGGAUUAGAUACCCGAGUAGUC